rnacentral:rRNA from 1 species
AGGGAGACGAGGUGGUGCAUGGUUUGUCGUCAGCUCGUGUCGUGAGAUGUUGGGUAAGUCCGCAACGAGCGCAACCCCUACGUUUAGUUGCUAACAGGUGAAGCUGAGCACUCUAGACGAACUGCCGUUGACAAAACGGAGGAAGGUGGGAUGACGUCAAAUCAUCAUGCCCUUAUGUUCUGGGCUACACACGUGCUACAAUGGCCGGUACAGACGGAGGCGAAGCCGCGAGGCGGAGCAAAUCCGAAAAAGCCGGUCUCAGUUCGGAUUGCAGGCUGCAAUUCGCCUGCAUGAAGUCGGAAUCGCUAGUAAUCGCAGGUCAGCAUACUGCGGUGAAUACGUUCCCGGGCCUU